GCUAGUUGGUGAGGUAAAGGCUUACCAAGGCGACGAUCAGUAGCUGGUCUGAGAGGACGACCAGCCACACUGGGACUGAGACACGGCCCAGACUCCUACGGGAGGCAGCAGUGGGGAAUUUUGGACAAUGGGGGAAACCCUGAUCCAGCCAUGCCGCGUGAGUGAAGAAGGCCUUCGGGUUGUAAAGCUCUUUCAGCCGGAACGAAACGGUCACGGCUAAUACCUGUGACUACUGACGGUACCGGAAGAAGAAGCACCGGCUAACUACGUGCCAGCAGCCGCGGUAAUACGUAGGGUGCAAGCGUUAAUCGGAAUUACUGGGCGUAAAGCGUGCGCAGGCGGUUUUGUAAGUCAGAUGUGAAAUCCCCGGGCUUAACCUGGGAACUGCGUUUGAAA
rnacentral:rRNA from 1 species